rnacentral:lncRNA from 1 species
GUCAAGGUAAAAAAACUUUGGUUUCAGUUGACAACCCUGUGUCCUGUGGUGAAGAUCGUGUCCGCUCUAUAUCUUGAGAACCGUUAUGAUUUCAAAGUUUAUACUUGACAUGUAUAUGAACCAACACCAGAGGGUGUGUCAUAAUUUAUGAACGACUGCCUAGGGCAAAGUUCAAGGUCAAAAACUUUGGUUUCAGUUGACAACCCCAUGUCCUAUGGUAAAGAUCGUGUCCGCUCUAUAUCUUGAGAACCGUUAUCAUUUCAAAGUUUAUACUUGACAUGAUUAUAAACCAACACCAAAGGGUGUGUCAUAAUUUAUUUACAACUUCCUAGGUCAAAGGUCAAGGUCAAAAACUUUGAUUUCAGUUGACAAACCCAUGUCUUAUGGUAAAGAUACAAUUUUUUAAUGCACAUUAUUCACAGCGGGGCCC